rnacentral:rRNA from 1 species
UACGUAGGGGGCAAGCGUUGUUCGGAAUUACUGGGCGUAAGGCGCGCGUAGGCGGCUUUGUAAGUUAGAGGUGAAAGCCCGGAGCUCAACUCCGGAACUGCCUUUAAAACUGCAUCGCUUGAAUCCAGGAGAGGUGAGUGGAAUUCCGAGUGUAGAGGUGAAAUUCGUAGAUAUUCGGAAGAACACCAGUGGCGAAGGCGGCUCACUGGACUGGUAUUGACGCUGAGGUGCGAAAGCGUGGGGAGCAAACAGG